rnacentral:rRNA from 1 species
CGUUAAUCGGAAUUACUGGGCGUAAAGCGUGCGCAGGCGGUUUUGUAAGACAGUGGUGAAAUCCCCGGGCUCAACCUGGGAACUGCCAUUGUGACUGCAAGGCUAGAGUGCGGCAGAGGGGGAUGGAAUUCCGCGUGUAGCAGUGAAAUGCGUAGAUAUGCGGAGGAACACCGAUGGCGAAGGCAAUCCCCUGGGCCUGCACUGACGCUCAUGCACGAAAGCGUGGGGAGCAAACAGGAUUAGAUACCCUGGUAGUCAAGGGCG